UGACGUCAAGUCCUCAUGGCCCUUAUGGUAGGGCUUCACACGUCAUACAAUGGUCGGUACAGAGGGUUGCCAACCCGCGAGGGGGAGGCUAAUCCCACAAAGCCGAUCGUAGUCCGGAUCGCAGUCUGCAACUCGACUGCGUGAAGUCGGAAUCGCUAGUAAUCGUGGAUCAGCAUGUCACGGUGAAUACGUUCCCGGGUCCUU
rnacentral:rRNA from 1 species